rnacentral:rRNA from 1 species
GUCUGUUUGGAGCUAUAAAGAGUCUAACCUGCCCACUGAUUAAAUAGUUAAAGGGCCGCAGUAUUAUAACUGUGCAAAGGUAGCAUAAUCAUUAGGUUUUUAAUUGGAAUCUUGAAUGAAUGGUUGGACAAGGGGAGUUCUGUCUUUAUAUUGAAUUUUGAAUUUAACUUUUAAGUGAAAAGGCUUAAAUAUUCUAAAGGGACGAUAAGACCCUAUAAAACUUUACAUUGGGGUUAAAUUUAGUUGAAUUUAUUUAUAAAGAUUUAAUUUAAUUAUUUGUUAUAUUGGGGAGAUAUGGGUAAAUAUUUUAUUAACUGCUUAUAGAUUAGACAUUUACUAAUGGGGGGUAAUAGAUCUUUAUUAAGGAUUAUUGAAUUAAGUUACUUUAGGGAUAACAGCGUUAUUUUUUUUGAGAGUUCAUAUCGAAAAAAAAGGUUGCGACCUCGAUGUUGAAUUAAAAUAUCUAUAUAAUGGAGAGGUUAUAUGGGAAGGUCUGUUCGAUCUUUAAAUUUUUACAUGAUUUGAGUUCAAACCGGCGUGAG